ensembl:lncRNA
CAGACAAAGUUCCAGCAAAAGAGUUCCAGCAAAGUGUUAACUCCUUUGUGCCCAGGGCAGAGAGUAGUGGCUCUUCUAAUACCUACUGAACCUGUUAUAAGCCCUCCAGAGGGUAGAUGCGCAUAUACCACAGAUCAAAAAUUCAAACGCCCUGCCUUCUCUGCAGCCAGAACCAAGCACAGCUUGCAGAUGGGUAUUCUGGGAGUUGAGAUUCACAGAUGGACCUACAGUAGUAGGUCCCCUCUUCCCCAGGUGAUUGGAUGAGACGUGGGCACCUGAGCUCCAGACAGCCAAUCCAUAGGCUGACCUGCCCACCUCAGUGUGGUCCAGAUUGAGGAUGGGAGCCAGCUAAUCAAGGAACGAAGGGAUCAGACGCAUAUCCCCUGCAUUGGAUGACAAAUUCUUAACUGGUUCAUCAGAGAAGUCCAGCCCUGUGCUUAUUUUUAAAAUAUCAGUUUGCAUGUACUCUUUAUGAAAGAUUCCCUCCUCAAGACUUUUUAGGAAGGAGGCAGAGUAUAAAUAAAUAGAGACAAUCUUUUAUCUCCCUUAUUUGUUGUCAGUAUUUCUUCCCAUUUGCCCCUUUUCAGUCUUUUUGUUAAAUGCAGAAAAUGUAAUUUCUCUGUAGUCAAACCUGCUAAUCUUCCAUUUGUGAUUUUAUCGAUGAUUCCAAGUUUAAGAAAGACAUUCUCCCUCCAGAGGUUUGUUGAAUGUUUCUCUUCUAGUUUCUUUAUGGCAAAAACCAUCACAAUAUUGUAAAGUAAUUAGC